rnacentral:rRNA from 1 species
UACGUAGGGGGCAAGCGUUGUCCGGAAUCAUUGGGCGUAAAGAGCGUGUAGGCGGCUUGAUAAGUCCGCUCUGAAAGCCCGGGGCUCAACCCCGGGAGGCGGGUGGAUACUGUCAAGCUCGAGUCCGGAAGAGGCGAGUGGAAUUCCUGGUGUAGCGGUGAAAUGCGCAGAUAUCAGGAGGAACACCAAUGGCGAAGGCAGCUCGCUGGGACGUGACUGACGCUGAGACGCGAAAGCGUGGGGAGCAAACAGG